rnacentral:rRNA from 1 species
CCUACGGGGGGCAGCAGUGGGGGAUAUUGCACAAUGGGGGAAACCCUGAUGCAGCGACGCCGCGUGAGUGAAGAAGUAUUUCGGUAUGUAAAGCUCUAUCAGCAGGGAAGAAAAUGACAGUACUUGACCAAGAAGACCCGGCUUAAUACGUACCAGCAGCCGCGGUAAGACGUAGGGGGCGAGCGUUAUCCGGGUUUACGGGGUGUAAAGGGAGCGUAGGCGGUUAUGUAAGUCUGGAGUGAAAGCCCGGGGCCCAACCCCGGGACUGCUUUGGAAACUGUGUAACUGGAGUACAGGAGGGGCAGGCGGAAUUCGUGGUGUAGCGGUGAAAUGCGUAGAUAUCAGGAGGAACCCCGGCGGCGAAGGCGGCCUGCUGGACUGAAACUGACGUUGAGGCUCGAAAGCGUGGGGAGCAAACAGGAUUAGAUACCCGAGUAGUC